rnacentral:rRNA from 1 species
CGUAGGGUGCGAGCGUUGUCCGGAUUUAUUGGGCGUAAAGGGCUCGUAGGCGGUUGAUCGCGUCGGAAGUGGAAACUUGAUGCUUAACGUUGAGCGUGCUUUCGAUACGGGUUGACUUGAGGAAGGUAGGGGAGAAUGGAAUUCCUGGUGGAGCGGUGGAAUGCGCAGAUAUCAGGAGGAACACCAGUGGCGAAGGCGGUUCUCUGGACCUUUCCUGACGCUGAGGAGCGAAAGCGUGGGGAGCGAACAGGCUU